rnacentral:lncRNA from 1 species
GUUCGAGAUUUUUUAAAAUUUUUUUGGAAGGAGUUUUGUCCCCAAACUUGGUAGACGUGAUCCUUGUAUUUUUGUUGGCAUGCACAAAAAAUUCAGCUAAAAACUCGAAGUGUACAAGAUUUUGUGACCAUUUGAAAAAAGUAUCCCCAUUUCAGACACUUUAAUACCUACUGGUAGCAAACCUGUAAAAUCUCAAAUGCUCUUUAAGGGGGUGUGAGUUCUCGAGG